CGCUGGGGUUUCAGCCAAUGGCCGCAGCAACUCAGGGAUCAUCGCUGGAGAUCACCAGUUGUUUUCUUCUGUACCUUGCUGUUUGUUACACUGCCUAAGAGAGAAGAGUCUCGUUCCGUGUUGCUGGACUUCACCUUGGAUCAGGAUCGCGAACGUUGCCAGGAACAAUCUGUCUCCAGACCAGCUGUCGACUGAGGGGUCCCUGAUGUGCAGAAGGGCUGAUGGAUCUGCAACCUGAAGAGGCAGACAAGAGCCAGCGUUGGAGGUGGGCUCACCUCAGCAUGGAUCGAUAAAAGGCUCGCUUCAGUAGACUUUGUUGUGACUGCUGCUUCAUACUCCGCUUGAACUGUUGGCAUGUGUGUGGAGUACAGUUAAAAAUUGUUCUGCUGCCUCUUUGUUGUGCUUACUUGAAACACACACUGGAAAGUCUCUCUUGAUGGGUCAAGAUUUCAAAGAAAAUCCCUUUGCAACACAAUGCAUGAUUAUAUUAAUUUUGUGCAAAAUAGUACAAAACAGUAAUAAGUAGUGUGUGAACUAAACAGUGGCUUCUCACUGGUGACAGUGAGGACUCCAGGCAGUAAUUCAAACCUCCAAGAAGGUAAGAUGACACAGUCCUAAGGAAGUGAAGUGACUGCACCUGACAAAGAGCAGCGCUGUGAAAGCUUGUGAUUUCAAAUAAACCUGUCAGACUAUAAGUGAUA